rnacentral:rRNA from 1 species
AGUGAACGCUGGCGGUAGGCCUAACACAUGCAAGUCGAACGGCAGCACAGUAAGAGCUUGCUCUUACGGGUGGCGAGUGGCGGACGGGUGAGGAAUACAUCGGAAUCUACUUUUUCGUGGGGGAUAACGUAGGGAAACUUACGCUAAUACCGCAUACGACCUACGGGUGAAAGCAGGGGAUCUUCGGACCUUGCGCGAUUGAAUGAGCCGAUGUCGGAUUAGCUAGUUGGCGGGGUAAAGGCCCACCAAGGCGAAGAUCCGUAGCUGGUCUGAGAGGAUGAUCAGCCACACUGGAACUGAGACACGGUCCAGACUCCUACGGGAGGCAGCAGUGGGGAAUAUUGGACAAUGGGAGCAAGCCUGAUCCAGCCAUACAGCGUGGGUGAAGAAGGCCUUCGGGUUGUAAAGCCCUUUUGUUGGGAAAGAAAAGCAGCAGGUUAAUACCCCGCUGUUCUGACGGUACCCAAAGAAUAAGCACCGGCUAACUUCGUG